GAAUUUUCGGCAAUGGGCGAAAGCCUGACCGAGCAACGCCGCGUGAGGGAAGAAGGUCUUCGGAUCGUAAACCUUUGUCAUCGGGGACGAUGAUGACGGUACCCGAGGAGGAAGCCCCGGCUAACUACGUGCCAGCAGCCGCGGUAAUACGUAGGGGGCGAGCGUUGUCCGGAAUUACUGGGCGUAAAGGGCGCGUAGGCGGUCUAAUAAGUCAGAUGUGAAACCCCCGGGCUUAACCCUGGGCUUGCAUUUGAAACUGUUGGACUUGAGGACAGGAGAGGAAAGCGGAAUUCCCAGUGUAGCGGUGAAAUGCGUAGAUAUUGGGAGGAACACCAGUGGCGAAGGCGGCUUUCUGGACUGCACCUGACGCUGAGGCGCGAAAGCCAGGGGAGCGAACG
rnacentral:rRNA from 1 species